CGUAGACAAAGCAUGCUGCAGAACACUGCGGGUUAGAAUAUCGAAAUCAGAGUUAGUUUGCCACGACGGACGGACGGAGACGGGUACCUGUCAGCGGCGGUGCGAUGCUGGGACGAUCACAGGGACUUCAGAGGUGCCUAGGGACGACUAUAGCUGAGGUCCAGACGUGUUCCUGUAUUGUGUGUGUCGUUGAUGUGAUGAGAGCGUCUGUGCGAUGUGAACCGAGGAGAAAUAAUGGGAUGGCUUCCGCUGCUCAAUGUGAACAGCCAUGGUGGUCCCUCAAUGUGAAGAUGUUUGUAAGAUGAAAUCAGCAAAGUCGAAAAGGACCAUGCUCACAUUUUCUGAAGAGUUCUGACUGGAUGCCUACAGAAGACAACAGUGAUGCUAACAUAUUCAAGAGGAUUCUUAAGUGGAUUGGAGGCCAAAUUUGGGAGUUAAAACACUGGAACACUGAUCUUGAUAAAAGAGGCUUCUUCCAUCUCUUCAUCAUCCUCCUCUUCACUAUCAUCAUCAUCAUCAUCACUGUCAUCAUCAUCAUCACUGUCAUCUUCGCCCUCACUCUCAAACCACUCCAGGUCCGCUUGGUCCAGGGAGAUGAUGGUCCGCCACUCAUCCAGCUUAUUCAGGUCUGCGCCAAAUUCAGAAACCACACAGUAAGAUGAACAAGACUUCUUCAUUGACUGGUCCAACCCCAUAAGGAAAAAUAAAGAACCUAAAUGAAGAAGAAUAAGACUUGACCUUCAUUAACUACAAGAACGUGUGCAUUCCUCACCCAGAGAAUAGAAGUCAUUGAGGGUGAGCUGCUUG